GCCUGGGUAGCUCAGUUGGCAGAGCGUUAGGAAACUAACCUAAUGGUCCAGGGUUCGAGUCCCUGUCCAGGCC